UUACGGCCGUAUCACGUUGAAACACUGGUUUCCGCAUGAUCACCAAAAUUAAGCAACAUCAUGCCUGUCUAGUACCUAGAAGGGUGACUGCUUGGGAAUACCAGGA